rnacentral:rRNA from 1 species
UAAUACGGGGGGAGCAAGCGUUGUUCGGAUUUACUGGGCGUAAAGGGCGCGUAGGCGGCCUGACAAGUCACUUGUGGAAUCUCUGGGCUCAACCCAGUAGCGGUCAAGUGAUACUGUCGAGCUAGAGUGCAGAAGGGGCAACUGGAAUUCUCGGUGUAGCGGUGAAAUGCGUAGAUAUCGAGAGGAACACCUGCGGCGAAGGCGGGUUGCUGGGCUGACACUGACGCUGAGGCGCGAAAGCUAGGGGAGCGAACGGGAUUAGAUACCCCGGUAGUCCUAGCCUUAAACGAUGGAUGCUUGGUGUCCAGGGUUAUAAAGUCCCUGGGUGCCGUCGCUAACGCUAUAAGCAUCCCGCCUGGGGAGUACGGUCGCAAGACU